rnacentral:rRNA from 1 species
UACGUAGGGUGCGAGCGUUGUCCGGAAUUAUUGGGCGUAAAGAGCUCGUAGGCGGUCUGUCGCGUCGGUCGUGAAAACUUGGGGCUUAACCCUGAGCUUGCGGUCGAUACGGGCAUGACUGGAGUCCGGAAGAGGAGAGUGGAAUUCCUGGUGUAGCGGUGAAAUGCGCAGAUAUCAGGAGGAACACCGGUGGCGAAGGCGGGUCUCUGGGCCGAUACUGACGCUGAGGAGCGAAAGCGUGGGGAGCGAACAGG